rnacentral:lncRNA from 1 species
CAGUGAUUCAUGGGUUCCUUCAUUUCAAAGAUGAGGAAACUGAUACUAUUCAGAGGCAAAGUGACCCCAGAACUGAGCUGGAAGUCUUCCUUUCAUCUCUCCCUUUAGGAACUGAUGCCAAAAGCAGAAGGAACUUCUUUUCCAGCCUCCUGCCACUCACCUAUCUCCUGAUCACCUGGGGCAUAGGCCGUCCAGCUAUCCUUUCAGUCCUCUUCGAUUCGUACUUCCAGGACCCAUAUAGCUGGGAAUUGCAGCAUACAUCUUCCGUAAACAGAUCCCAGGAGCAGCCUUCAUUGUCUCUAGUUGGUGAGUAGUUCAGCCUUGUUACCUGGUGAUCCUGGGAACAGGUGCAGGAUAGCUAACGUUUAUUAGGUCUACAUUUCUAGUUGACACACAGCUUUGAUCUUAUCUAAUUCCUCACAGCCGAUCUAUAAAGAAGGAG